CCUACGGGAGGCAGCAGUGGGGAAUAUUGCACAAUGGGGGAAACCCUGAUGCAGCGACGCCGCGUGUGUGAAGAAGGAAUUCGUUAUGUAAAGCACUAUCAGCGGGGAAGAAAAUGACGGUACCUGAGUAAGAAGACGCGGCUAACUACGUGCGAGCAGCCGCGGUAAUACGUAGGGGGCAAGCGUGAUCCGGAUUUACUGGGUGUAAAGUGAGCGGAGACGGCAGUGCAAGCUGGAGGUAAAGGCGGGGGCUCAACCCCCGGACUGCUCUGGAAACUGUACGGCUGGAGUGCAGGAGAGGUAAGUGGAAUUCGUAGUGUAGCGGUGAAAUGCGUAGAUAUCAGGAGGAACACCAGUGGCGAAGGCGGCUUACUGGAGUGUAACUGACGUUGAGGCACGAAAGCGUGGGGAGCAAACAGGAUUAGAUACCCUGGUAGUC
rnacentral:rRNA from 1 species